UUACGGCCAUAUCACGUUCAAACAUCGGUUCCCGUACGAUCACCGAAAUUAAGCAACGUCGAGCCUUGUCAGUACCUAGAUGGGUUACCGUUUGCGAAUACCAAGUGUUGUAAG
rnacentral:rRNA from 1 species